rnacentral:rRNA from 1 species
CCUACGGGUGGCAGCAGUGAGGAAUAUUGGUCAAUGGACGAGAGUCUGAACCAGCCAAGUAGCGUGAAGGAUGACUGCCCUAUGGGUUGUAAACUUCUUUUAUAUGGGAAUAAAAUGUUCCACGUGUGGGAUUUUGUAUGUACCAUAUGAAUAAGGAUCGGCUAACUCCGUACCAGCAGCCGCGGUAAUACGGAGGAUCCGAGCGUUAUCCGGAUUUAUUGGGUUGAAAGGGAGCGUAGAUGGGUUGUUAAGUCAGUUGUGAAAGUUUGCGGCUCAACCGUAAAAUUGCAAUUGAUACUGGCAGCCUUGAGUACAGUUGAGGUAGGCGGAAUUCGUGGUGUAGCGGUGAAAUGCUUAGAUAUCACACAGAACACCGAUUGCGAAGGCAUCUCACGAAUCCGCGAUUGACGCUGAUGCACGAAAGCGUGGGUAUCAAACAGGAUUAGAGACCCUGGUAGUC